rnacentral:rRNA from 1 species
AGCGUAGGCGGUUUUUUUAAGUGGGGUGUGAAAUCCCUGGGCUUAACCCAGGAAUUGCAUUCCAAACUGGAAGACUAGAGUGCAGGAGAGGAAAGUGGAAUUCCAAGUGUAGCGGUGAAAUGCGUAGAGAUUUGGAGGAACACCAGUGGCGAAGGCGACUUUCUGGACUGUAACUGACGCUGAGGCUCGAGAGCGUGGGGAGCAAAACAGGAUUAGAUACCCUGGUAGUCCACGCUGUAAACGAUGAAUACUAGGUGUUGGGGGCGAAGCCCUCAGUGCCGCAGUUAACACAUUAAGUAUUCCCGCCGUGGGGAGUACGAUCGCAAGAUUAAAA